rnacentral:rRNA from 1 species
GGGAUUGCCUCAGUAGCGGCGAGUGAAGCGGCAAAAGCUCAAAUUUGAAAUCUGGCGUCUUUGGCGUCCGAGUUGUAAUUUGAAGAAGGUAUCUUUGGGCCCGGCUCUUGUCUAUGUUCCUUGGAACAGGACGUCACAGAGGGUGAGAAUCCCGUGCGAUGAGAUGACCCGGGUCUGUGUAAAGUUCCUUCGACGAGUCGAGUUGUUUGGGAAUGCAGCUCUAAGUGGGUGGUAAAUUCCAUCUAAAGCUAAAUAUUGGCGAGAGACCGAUAGCGAACAAGUACAGUGAUGGAAAGAUGAAAAGAACUUUGAAAAGAGAGUGAAAAAGUACGUGAAAUUGUUGAAAGGGAAGGGCUUGAGAUCAGACUUGGUAUUUUGCAUGUUGCUCUCUCGGGGGCGGCCGCUGCGGUUUACCGGGCCAGCAUCGGUUUGGAGCGGCAGGAUAAUGGCGGAGGAAUGUGGCACGGCUUCUGCUGUGUGUUAUAGCCUCUGACGAUACUGCCAGCCUAGACCGAGGACUGCGGUUUUUACCUAGGAUGUUGGCAUAAUGAUCUUAAGUCGCCCGUCUUGAA